rnacentral:rRNA from 1 species
CACGUAGGGGGCUAGCGUUGUCCGGAAUCAUUGGGCGUAAAGAGCGUGUAGGCGGUCCGGUAAGUCCGUUGUGAAAGUCAGGGGCUCAACCCUUGAAUGCCGGCGGAUACUGUCGGGCUAGAGUCCGGAAGAGGCGAGUGGAAUUCCCGGUGUAGCGGUGAAAUGCGCAGAUAUCGGGAGGAACACCUAUGGCGAAGGCAGCUCGCUGGGACGGUACUGACGCUGAGACGCGAAAGCGUGGGGAGCAAACAGG